AUUGAACGCUGGCGGCAGGCCUAAUACAUGCAAGUCGAACGAGUGGCGGACGGGUGAGUAAUGUCUGGGAAACUGCCUGAUGGAGGGGGAUAACUACUGGAAACGGUAGCUAAUACCGCAUACCAUCGGAUGUGCCCAGAUGGGAUUAGCUAGUAGGUGGGGUAAAGGCUCACCUAGGCGACGAUCCCUAGCUGGUCUGAGAGGUAGACCAGCAACACGUGAACGGAGACACGGACCAUAAUCCUACGGGAGGCAGCAGUGUGGAAUAUUGCACAAGUGGCGCAAGCCUGAUGCAGCCAUGCCGCGUGUAUGAAGAAGGCCUUCGGGUUGUAAAGUACUUUCAGCGGGGAGGCGUUACCCGAAGAAGAAGCACCGGCUAACUCCGUGCCAGCCGCCGCGGUAAUUC
rnacentral:rRNA from 1 species